GUAGUGUGGGGUCUGGCAGCAGCGAUAGUGGGUAGGGGGUGGGCGGUGCCUGGAAGGGGUGUGCGGUGAUGGCUAGUAGGCGGUUUGGACAGUCGGGCGUGAAAUUCAGGGGCUCAACCGGGGGGCGGCGGUCGAUACGUGCAGGCUGGAGUAUGGAAGAGGGGCGUGGAAUUCCCAGUGUAGAGGUGAAAUUCGUAGAUAUUGGGAAGAACACCGGUGGCGAAGGCGGCGACCUGGUCCUUUACUGACGCUGAGGCGCGAAAGCGUGGGGAGCAAACAGGAUUAGAUACCCCGGUAGUC
rnacentral:rRNA from 1 species